CAGUAAAUAUAGAUAUUUGUUUUAUUUCAAGUGCCAAAUGACAACAAGGAAUAUAGUCGAAGCUAUGCGCGCAUAAUGCUACGCGCUCCGAUAUAAUUCCGCAAAUGGUGUAUAUAUACCAAAAAUACACAUCUCUCCUACUAGUCUCUUCACAGACUGUACCUUAAUUCGUCAGUUCCAAUCAAUUUUAUGUGACACAUCUUUAAAAAUUCUUUUUCUAAACUGUCGCUGUUAAAAA